GGCCCCCACUAGUCUGGGAUACCACUUGGAAACAGGUGCUAAUACCGGAUAAGAAAGCGGAUCGCAUGAUCAGCUUUUAAAAGGCGGCGUAAGCUGUCGCUAUGGGAUGGCCCCGCGGUGCAUUAGCUAGUUGGUAAGGUAAAGGCUUACCAAGGCGAUGAUGCAUAGCCGAGUUGAGAGACUGAUCGGCCACAUUGGGACUGAGACACGGCCCAAACUCCUACGGGAGGCAGCAGCG
rnacentral:rRNA from 1 species